rnacentral:lncRNA from 1 species
AGAAAAUGUAGUACAUCUACACAAUGGAAAACUAUUCAGCUAUUAAAAACAAGGACAUCAUGAAGUUUGCAGUUAAAUGGAUGGAUCUUGAGAAUAUCCUGAGUGAGAUAACCCAGACCCCAAAGGAUAUGCAUGAUUUUGAAUUGCGGCUUCUUCUGUCCCGGCGAAGGCCUAGGCGGUCAGAGAGAGCGACGGGGACCAUGUUCCGACACAAGCUCACAGCCCUGGAUUACCGCAACACUUCGGGCUUCAACUGCAAAGAUGAAACAGAAUUUAGAAACUGAAUUGUUUGGCUUGAAGACCAGAAAAUCAGACACUACGAGAUCGAAGAUAGAGGUAACUUGAGAAACAUCCCCGGUAGUGACUGGCCCAAGUUCUUUGAAAAGUAUCUCAGAGAUAUUAACUGUCCUUUCAAGACUCAGAAUCGGCAAGAAGCAAUUGACUGGCUUGUUGGUUUAGCUGUUAGACUUGAACAUGGAGAUAACACUGAAAACUACAAGGACUUAGUACCUGAUAACAGGAAAAAUACUGACAACGCAGCUAAAAAUGCAGAGCCACUGAUCAACUUGGACGUAAAUUAUCCUGACUUUAAGGCUGGUGUCACAGCUCUGGCUAACCUUCAGAUUCAGGGUCAGGGUGACUACUUGGUAAUGCUUAAGGCAAUUGGCAUUUUGGCUUAGGAACAUCUAACACAGGAUGCGGUUGCCAAAGCAAAUACAACAAAAGGCGGCUACCUGUUGCUUUAGACAAACAUAUUCUUGGCUCUGACAAAGGCGAUGCACUUCUUAAUGAAGCUGCUCAGAUCGUGCGGUUGCUGCACAUAGAAGAGCUCUGAGAGCUACAGACAAACAUUAAUGAAGCCACAGUAGCGGUUCAAGCCGUCAUUGCUGAUCCAAAGACAGACCACAGACAGGGGAAAGUAGGGAGAUGGGCACAUGUGGAUGUCGGCUUCUCUCCUGCGUAGUGAUGGGGACUGUUACAGUGGCAUGUGCUUGGGUCACACUUCAAGGGAGAAUCCCAGGAGAUCGGCCAUGUUCUAGAGAAUUACCACCACUGCUUUUUUUUUUUUCUU